rnacentral:rRNA from 1 species
UAAGACGGAGGGUGCUAGCGUUGUUCGGAAUUACUGGGCGUAAAGGGCGCGUAGGCGGCCUGGUCAGUCGGAUGUGAAAGCCCGGGGCUCAACCCCGGAACGGCAUCCGAGACGGCCAGGCUGGAGACCGGGAGAGGAGAGUGGAAUAGCCAGUGUAGAGGUGAAAUUCGUAGAUAUUGGCUGGAACACCGGUGGCGAAAGCGGCUCUCUGGCCCGGUUCUGACGCUGAGGCGCGAAAGCGUGGGGAGCAAACAGGAUUAGAUACCCUGGUAGUCCACGCCCUAAACGAUGUGUGCUGGGCGUUGGGGGGCUUGCCCCUCGGUGCCGGAGCUAACGCGGUAAGCACACCGCCUGGGGAGUACGGCCGCAAGGUUA